AGAAUGAACAAGUUUUUUUUUAAACUUAUUUUUUAGUGGUAUUGAAUUAAGAUUUUAGCUACUUACCAGCCAUUUUUCUUUAUUAUAUUUUCCAGGCUUAUUUCCGAGUCCAUGUCUAGGGAACCCUGGUUUGUAUGGGGCAAGGGCAU